GUGACAGCCCCGUACACAAAAAUGCACAUGCUGUGAGCUCGAUGAGUAGGGCGGGACACGUGGUAUCCUGUCUGAAUAUGGGGGGACCAUCCUCCAAGGCUAAAUACUCCUGACUGACCGAUAGUGAACCAGUACCGUGAGGGAAAGGCGAAAAGAACCCCGGCGAGGGGAGUGAAAAAGAACCUGAAACCGUGUACGUACAAGCAGUGGGAGCACAGAGCAAUCUGUGUGACUGCGUACCUUUUGUAUAAUGGGUCAGCGACUUAUAUUCUGUAGCAAGGUUAACCGAAUAGGGGAGCCGAAGGGAAACCGAGUCUUAACUGGGCGUUAAGUUGCAGGGUAUAGACCCGAAACCCGGUGAUCUAGCCAUGGGCAGGUUGAAGGUUGGGUAACACUAACUGGAGGACCGAACCGACUAAUGUUGAAAAAUUAGCGGAUGACUUGUGGCUGGGGGUGAAAGGCCAAUCAAACCGGGAGAUAGCUGGUUCUCCCCGAAAGCUAUUUAGGUAGCGCCUCGUGAAUUCAUCUCCGGGGGUAGAGCACUGUUUCGGCAAGGGGGUCAUCCCGACUUACCAACCCGAUGCAAACUGCGAAUACCGGAGAAUGUUAUCACGGGAGACACACGGCGGGUGCUAACGUCCGUCGUGAAGAGGGAAACAACCCAGACCGCCAGCUAAGGUCCCAAAGUCAUGGUUAAGUGGGAAACGAUGUGGGAAGGCCCAGACAGCCAGGAUGUUGGCUUAGAAGCAGCCAUCAUUUAAAGAAAGCGUAAUAGCUCACUGGUCGAGUCGGCCUGCGCGGAAGAUGUAACGGGGCUAAACCAUGCACCGAAGCUGCGGCAGCGACACUAUGUGUUGUUGGGUAGGGGAGCGU
rnacentral:rRNA from 1 species